rnacentral:rRNA from 1 species
GACGAACGCUGGCGGCGUGCUUAACACAUGCAAGUCGAACGGAAAGGCCCUGCUUUUGUGGGGUGCUCGAGUGGCGAACGGGUGAGUAACACGUGAGUAACCUGCCCUUGACUUUGGGAUAACUUCAGGAAACUGGGGCUAAUACCGGAUAGGAGCUCCUGCUGCAUGGUGGGGGUUGGAAAGUUUCGGCGGUUGGGGAUGGACUCGCGGCUUAUCAGCUUGUUGGUGGGUAGUGGCUUACCAAGGCUUUGACGGGUAGCCGGCCUGAGAGGGUGACCGGCCACAUUGGGACUGUGAUACGGCCCAGACUCCUACGGGAGGCAGCAGUGGGGAAUAUUGCACAAUGGGCGGAAGCCUGAUGCAGCAACGCCGCGUGCGGGAUGACGGCCUUCGGGUUGUAAACCGCUUUCGCCUGUGACGAAGCGUGAGUGACGGUAAUGGGUAAAGAAGCACCGGCUAACUACGUG